AUGACUGGCACAUCCUCCGCCCUCACCACCAGCACCGUCGGCGCCCUCAUCAACAGCACCGCCGGCGCCCUCACUUCCGCCGCUGCCGGCUCUAUCGCUUCCGCCCCAACCAUCUCCAUGCCGUCGCUUGCUGGACUCAUCACUGUCCGGCUCACCCGCGCGAAUUUCCACUUAUGGAAAGCGCAGGUCGUCCCCAACCUCUCCGGUGCAGGUCUCUUCGGUUACCUCGACGGCUCCUUUCCCCGGCCGCCGCAGACAGUCAUCGAAGGCACUGGUGAUGCGGCACAUCAGGUGCCCAACCCGGCGUAUACAGUCUGGUGGAUGGCCGAUCAGGCUGUUCUUGGCGCCCUCCUGUCCUCCAUGACCGAGGAAGUCCUCGGUCAGAUGACGCGCGUGACCUCCUCGGCCGCCGCAUGGACUGCCCUCUGCGCCAUGUUCGCUGCGCAGAAUAGGGCUGCUGUUCAUCAGCUUCGGACGCAACUGAACCAGACCAAGAAAAAGGACAUGUCCGUGUCUGAGUACUUCCACAAGAUGACGGGCUACGCCGACGCCAUGGCUGCUGUCGGCGACCCCCUGACCGAUGAACAGAUCAUCGGCCACAUCCAGGGUGGCUUGGGUCAGGAGUACGACCCCCUGGUGGCUUCGCUCACCAUCUUCGACGGAGCAAUCAGCCUCACCAACUUCUACGCGCAUCUCCUCAGCUUCGAGGCCCGUCAGGAGCAGCACGCCGCAGCUGGUGGCGAUUUUUCGUCCUCCGUCAACAACGUCGUUCGCCAUGGAGGUGGCUCGUCUUCCCGUAAUGGCAACCGCAACGGAGGUGGAGCUUAUGGCAGCCGCAAUGGCGGCCAGCAGCAUGGCGGCCAGAACCAUGGCAGCCAGCAGCAUGGCGGCCAGAACGGCCAGCACCAUGGCGGUCGUGGCAACAAUGGAAACCGCAACGGCGGCAACCGUCGUCCUAAGUGCCAAAUCUGCCCUAUUUUUGGGCACUCCGCCCUUCAGUGUCGCCAACGCUACAACCACGCUUAUCAGGCGGAUGAGUACCAUGGCGGUAACAUGGCGACGCACGGCCACGUCGACAACCACUGGCUACUGGACACCGGUUCCACCGACCAUCUCACCAAUGACCUUGAUCGUCUAACGAUGCAUGAGCGCUACAGUGGGAAGGACCAAGUGCAUGUUGCAAACGGUGCAGGACAAACUCACGAGGAAGGUGCUUCUUCUCGGUAG
rnacentral:rRNA from 1 species